UACGGGGGGAGCAAGCGUUGUUCGGAUUUACUGGGCGUAAAGGGCGCGUAGGCGGCCUCCGCAAGUCAAUUGUGAAAUCUCCGAGCUUAACUCGGAAAGGUCAACUGAUACUGCGGGGCUAGAGUGCGGAAGGGGCAACUGGAAUUCUUGGUGUAGCGGUGAAAUGCGUAGAUAUCAAGAGGAACACCUGCGGCGAAGGCGGCACUCUGGGCCGGUACUGACGCUGAGGAGCGAAAGCGUGGGAGCAAACAGG
rnacentral:rRNA from 1 species